UUAAGUUCAGCGGGUAUCCCUACCUGAUCCGAGGUCAACCUGUAAAAAGAUUGGGGGUUCUGGCGAGCCACUGGGGGGAACUCUAUAGCGGGAGUAUGUACUACGCUUAGAGCCCACCGGCGCCGCCACUGUUUUUGAGGGCCGCCGAACCGCGUGCCCCAACACCAAGCUGGGCUUGAGUGGUCAAAUGACGCUCGAAC
rnacentral:misc_RNA from 1 species